UAUUAAAUAAUAAUAUUACACAAAUAUUACAUGCAUGUGUUCCUGACACGUUCUUUCAUGUAAAUGAUACACUUCUGUUGAAUAUUUACUUUAUAAAAAUGGUUUAUUGUCUUCAGAAAAAGUCUGUUAGCAUCUGAACUGUAAUGCUAACUAUAAGAGGUUUUGCAGGCAAUUUGUCAUUGGAUGAAAGGAACAGUUUCAGAAAAAAACUUCUACGACACAGGAAAAGUUCCUGAUUUUAAAAUUUCUGAAGGGAGCUGCUGACAGAGAUAUAAAAAACA